AUGAUACGCGAGGAACCUUACCUGGACUUAAAUGUAGAUUGCAUAGAGUGGAGACAUUCUUUUCUUCGGACUAUCUACAAGGUGCUGCAUGGUUGUCGUCAGCUCGUGCCGUGAGGUGUCGGGUUAAGUCCCAUAACGAGCGCAACCCCUAUCGUUAGUUGCUAGCAGGUAAUGCUGAGAACUCUAACGAGACUGCCACCGUAAGGUGUGAGGAAGGUGGGGAUGACGUCAAAUCAGCACGGCCCUUACGUCCAGGGCUACACACGUGUUACAAUGGCAGGUACAAAGGGCAGCUACAUAGUGAUAUGAUGCUAAUCUCAAAAACCUGUCUCAGUUCGGAUAGGAGUCUGCAACUCGACUCCUUGAAGCUGGAUUCGCUAGUAAUCGUAUAUCAGCAAUGAUACGGUGAAUACGUUCCCGGGCCUUGUACACACC
rnacentral:rRNA from 1 species